UACAUAGCUGGAGAUUAGACGAGCGGAACCUAAACAAUAGCACGUGGGGAGGAAUAAAUGCCUGUCCUUGUGCGCAACUACAGAAGAAGAUAUUAGAAAACUUUGUGAUAAAAAAUUUUAUGGGAAAACAGGAACACAGCAAGAGAAGCAUUCGCUGACGCAGGGAGGUCUUGAGGAAGGCUGCCCCUGGAGGGAACACACCGCCCCUGUCAAACAGGAGGAAACAUAGACACACAACAAGAGAAAACACAAACCUGGAAACACCUCUUGCAGAAAAGUGGUGCCUAAAUCAGCUGGGAUGGAGUCAAAGCCACAGGACCCCACCACAUGCACACCCGCCUCCCGUGCUGCCUCUGAGUACUCCAGCU